ACAGAUGGCCGAGCGGUUAAGGCGCUAGCUUAAGGUACCCUCUUCGGAGACCUAUACGCUAGUUCGAAAGAGCGUGGGUUCGAUUCCCACUCUGU
rnacentral:tRNA from 1 species